AUUUGAACUGGUGACACGAGGAUUUUCAGUCCUCUGCUCUACCGACUGAGCUAUCCCGGCCAACGUCUCUACGGAGAUGCCUCAAAUCCAAAUGAGACAGAUAUCUUCGAUCUAUCUCUGCUCAAUCAAACCAAUAACCUCGGUAAAACAAUAGUCGUUUGUUUAAGAUUUUCUAUAGUUUUCAAAUGAACCACUCAAAAAGCCCUUUAGGCUUGCUCAGUGGUUCAUUUGUGAUCCAUACUCAAAUAAAAGGUUAAAGUCAAAAGGACAGGGUAUUAAGCUAAAUUUAUAGUUUGGAAGGGGUAAGAUAACCAUAUGAAUCCGAACAACCUAUAUAUAUAUAUAUAUAAAGAUUGGCAAUUCUACCCUGUUCUGUUGGGGAUAGAGGGACUUGAACCCUCACGGUCCUAUAAAGACCAACGGAUUUUCUUUCUACCACAAUUUGCAUUGCUACUUAUACUAACCAUGUAGAAUGGGACUCUACCUUUAUCCACGAAAACAUUAUUAGCUACUGCUACUACUUGUCGAGGAGUAUUCAUUAAAAUACAACGGAAGACAGGCACUAUAACAGGUAGAAACGGAAUAUGAAAGUUAGUAGGAAUAUAUUAUAUCUUUUAUAUACUAUAGAUUCAAAUAUUGGAGCGAUCCUGCGACUCUAGACCGAAACAGGGGUCGCGCUCGAUCCUUAUCCAAAUAGAUAAACUUUUUUUUUUCAUCUCUUCGUCUCAUAUUCCUGUAUUUCAUCUCGUUCAAUCAACCAUCUGCGGUAGUUAAAUAUUCAAUUACUUUAGAAAUAAGAAUUAAUAGAUUGUUCGUUGGAAUAGCCCCCGUCGAGUCUCUGUACCUAUCUCGCUUCGUCAUCUAAGAUUUAGAUAGAUGAUUUGAGAUUUGGCUCAGGAUUGCCCACAAAAUAAUCCUAGGUUCCCCUGAAUCUGGGAGCUGUCACUCAGUACGUUUCCAUACCUAGGCUCAAUCUGAUUGAGUCCGUAGCGUCUACCGAUUUCG
rnacentral:misc_RNA from 1 species